CCCUUGCCAGGGGGGUAUCUUCGGAUAGAGCCUGGACAGGAUUAGCGGGGAGUGCCUGUCACGAAAAACUCCCGCAGCA
rnacentral:sRNA from 12 species